GUCAGAUAGCCCCAUAUAAGGUAUGAACUGCACACUGCAGUACGGCGUUGACUUUGGUUCUAAGAAAUUAUUCUCUUCUCAUCGUUGUGCCACCAAGGAGUUCCAAGAUGAAAUUCUUUAAUUUGAAGUUCUUGUUCGUUUUGCUUCUGGCUCUCUUGACGGUAUCUGCAACUGUAGCUUACAAACGCUACUAUGGAUAUCGCAGAUAUGGUGGGGGUGGUCAUUAUUACAAAAGAGUAUACUAUUACCCUCGAUAUAAAUACCACAGAGGAUAGUAUUCUUGCUGCGAUAUUUGGACAAAAGCCUGCAUUCAGACAUCAGUUCAGAAGAUUUCGAAUGAAAGGCAUCUCUCAUUGUAUCAUUGGUUUAAACUUGUAGAAAUAAAUAGUUUUGCUUCUACA